GCCCGGUUAACAACAUCACCUUUUAAUUUUAGGAUAUACUAUUAAACUUGAAAUAAGGUACAGCCAAAACUGUAAACCAUGAUACUGCAUUGAUAAAUACAUUUAUCAUAUACUUAGACUAAAUAACAUAUGAUUUUUACUGUAUGAUAAUACCAUUAAAUUAACGUAAAUUCCAUAUUUUUCGAAUUGGUCCUUAGCGGGCUGAUAUGAAAAGUUUAUCACAUGCUUCGAUUGUUAUCACAUGCCUUUCCGUAACGUUAUCGCAUGGCAUUCCGGUGAUACUCGGCAAAUUCCGGAAAAUACACCUCAAUGCUACGUUUACAGUGAAAACCAUUACAAAGUAGUGUACAAAACAAUCAUUUGGAUACUGGAAAGUAUAUUUCGUGAAAUAUUAA
rnacentral:lncRNA from 1 species